rnacentral:rRNA from 1 species
AUGGCUGAUGCUAGUUCGAGGACUGACACAUCCAUAGUUGUGGACACUGACGAUAAGAAUCAAAGGAUGGAAAACGGACAAAAUGGAGCUAUCGUGCCUUCUAAUUCAUCUGAACCAUCUGACAGGUCCGACAGGCCUAUGGACCAAAAGGUGGUAUUGCGGAGGCUUGCCCAAAAUCGCGAGGCAGCACGAAAAAGUCGUCUGAGGAAAAAGGCGUAUGUACAACAACUUGAGAGCAGUAAGCUGAAACUUGCAAGCCUGGAACAAGAACUCCAGAAAGCUCGACAGCAAGGAAUCUUCAUUUCUAGCUCUGGGGAUCAAACUCAUGCUAUGAGUGGAAAUGGAGCGAUGACAUUUGAUUUAGAAUAUACUCGAUGGCUAGAGGAGCAAAAUAAGCAGAUAAAUGAGCUGAGGACUGCAGUAAAUGCUCAUGCAAGUGAUAGUGACCUCCGUCUUAUUGUAGAUGGAAUAAUGGCACAUUAUGACGAAAUAUUCAAGCUGAAGGGCGCUGCUGCAAAGGCUGAUGUGUUUCAUAUACUUUCAGGCAUGUGGAAAACACCUGCUGAAAGGUGUUUUUUGUGGCUUGGGGGUUUUCGUUCGUCUGAGCUUCUAAAGCUCCUUGUAAAUCAGCUCGAGCCUCUAACAGAGCAGCAGUUGAUGGGGUUAUCCAGCCUCGAGCAAUCCUCACACCAGGCCGAGGAUGCACUAUCACAAGGAAUGGAGGCAUUGCAGCAAUCUUUGGCUGAAACGUUGGCUGGUUCCCUUGGUCCAUCAGGAUCUUCAGGAAACGUGGCAAACUACAUGGGUCAAAUGGCUAUGGCUAUGGGAAAACUUGGAACCCUUGAGAAUUUCCUUCGCCAGGCUGACAAUCUACGGCAACAAACUUUGCAUCAAAUGCAAAGAAUUCUGACAAUACGGCAAGCUGCUCGAGCUCUCCUUGCAAUACAUGACUAUUUUUCACGUUUGCGUGCCCUGAGCUCUCUCUGGCUUGCAAGGCCACGGGAGUAA